ACGGAUCCUUCGGGAUUAGUGGCAGACGGGUGAGUAACGCGUGGGAAGCUACCUUGUGGUAGGGGACAACAGUUGGAAACGACUGCUAAUACCCUAUGAGCCCUAUGGGGGAAAGAUUUAUCGCCAUGAGAUGUGCCCGCGUUAGAUUAGCUAGUUGGUAAGGUAAUGGCUUACCAAGGCGACGAUCUAUAGCUGGUCUGAGAGGAUGAUCAGCCACACUGGGACUGAGACACGGCCCAGACUCCUACGGGAGGCAGCAGUGGGGAAUAUUGGACAAUGGGGGCAACCCUGAUCCAGCCAUGCCGCGUGUGUGAUGACGGCCUUAGGGUUGUAAAGCACUUUCAGCAGUGAAGAUAAUGACAUUAACUGC
rnacentral:rRNA from 1 species